ACCCGUAGCUCAGCUGGAUAGAGCGCUGCCCUCCGAAGGCAGAGGUCACAGGUUCGAAUCCUGUCGGGU
rnacentral:tRNA from 1 species